rnacentral:rRNA from 1 species
GCUUACGGCCAUACCACCCUGAACACGCCCGAUCUCGUCAGAUCUCGGAAGCUAAGCAGGGUCGGGCCUGGUUAGUACUUGGAUGGGAGACCGCCUGGGAAUACAGGUGCUGUAAGCU